rnacentral:lncRNA from 1 species
CCAGCGAGGAGAGCCACCGCCUCCUUCCGCCCCCCCCACCGGCCCCAAAGAGGAGAGGGGGAGGCGCGGCUUCCGGAUUCCCGCGGAGGGGAGGGGAAGGAGGGGAGAGACCCUGUCCUCAAGGUCCCCCCGCCCCUUCUCUGUGAUGGGGUGCGGCUUCCUGGUUUCAGCAUCCUCCUUCUUCCCAGUACUAGACUCUCCGGGUAUAAAACCCUCUCCAAAAGAUACCGAUUACCCGCAGGGAUUCCAGCCCGGACUCUCUGGGAGGGAGACUCCACUUCCCCCCUCCACCCCUCAUGUGACCCCGCCCCCAGGGAAAUGUUAGCCAAUCGCCGCGCCCCCUCCUGCCCCUGGGGGAACCCCUGCCCGGGCGCCCCGCCCCCGCUCGGCCCCGCCCCGCCGCGGGAAAGCCUCUGGACCUUUCCCCGCCCCCGCCCCCGCGGGGCUGGCUGGGGGAGCCGGCUCUCCUCCUCCAGCCUCUUAGGACGUUUAUCGUGUCCUCCCCGCCUCUGUGGAGAGAGGAGUACAUGGAUUAAUGGAUUAGUUGACACAUUUCGUGGGUUUAUGGAGCUACCCUCCCUUGACCUGGUUAUACCACCAUUUCUAAGAGGAAAAAGUUGUUUGUGACUAAGAGAAGAUGCCUCGGACUAAACAGAUUCAUCCCAGAAAUCUGAGAGCUCUCCUAAACAUCUAGAAAAUGUACCAGACUGAAUCCUAAUGGGGAAAUCUGGGGAAAUGAGGAAAAUGUAGAAAAGUCACAGUAAGUUCUUUGUCUAGCCUAGCUUGGCAUAGAGACACAGAAAGGGAGGGUUUUGGACAGGGAAGAUGGGUAGGGCCAGGGUGUAGAAAUCUUGGAAUAUGCUAUUCCAGAAGGCAGAAGAUAUGGGUUUAUAGGCAAGAAUAGUUUGCCUGGCAAAAUUGAGUAGAAUAUUACAGAGGAAAAAAAUAGAUCUUUAAUGAAAUAGAGAACUUCUUAGCAUUCUUGGUGGAAAGACCACAGUUGCUGCGAAACAUUGAAGUAAAAACACAGGAGUAAAGAAAAACAUAAAAAAUAAGCAUAAAUGAACAAUAGUAAAGAACAAAAACAAGGGUAAACUGCUUACAUUAAAAUAUUGAGAGAUGGUAAUCUGUCCUUUCUGAACCCUAACAUCAUCAGAGAUAUUAGAGGGAGUCCAGUUAGAGAAAACCCAGAAGUGUUUCUCUUAUGUCUUGAUGAAUUUAGGAAGAAAAUGGAAAGAGAAAGAGGACUAUACUGGAGUACAGGGAAGUAAAGGAAAGACUAAGGGAAAUUAUCUCAUAUAAUCAGGAUAUACAAGUGGACAUCUCUAUAAAUAUGGAGAAGAGUAGAGGAGGGAGUUGCCGACACAAACCUUAUUUUCAUCUGAAUUAGCUAAAAGGAAGGAAGAACACAUACACAGAUUUGGGUACAGAAAUUCAUUUCACUUAACUGGGAAAUAGGGAAAGGAAAGAAAGGGUGAGGAGAAAUUAGCAGGAGAGAAGUUAGAUGAAGAGAGGAUUAAGAUACAUUAAAGAUGUAAGCAAAAUAAAUUCUGAGGCCUAACAAAAAUAUGACA